UACGGAGGAUGCGAGCGUUAUCCGGAUUUAUUGGGUUUAAAGGGUGCGUAGGCGGUCCGGAAAGUCAGCGGUAAAAUUUCGGGGCUCAACCCCGUCGUGCCGUUGAAACUGGCGGCCUCGAGUGAGUGAGAAGUAAGCGGAAUGCGUGGUGUAGCGGUGAAAUGCAUAGAUAUCACGCAGAACGCCGAUUGCGAAGGCAGCUUACCGGCGCUCAACUGACGCUGAGGCACGAAAGUGCGGGUAUCGAACAGG
rnacentral:rRNA from 1 species